GACGAACGCUGGCGGCGUGCCUAAUACAUGCAAGUAGAACGCUGAAGAGAGGAGCUUGCUCUUCUUGGAUGAGUUGCGAACGGGUGAGUAACGCGUAGGUAACCUGCCUGGUAGCGGGGGAUAACUAUGGGAAACGAUAGCUAAUACCGCAUAAAAUUGUUUAUUGCAUGAUACUUAAUUGAAAGAUGCAAUUGCAUCACUACCAGAUGGACUUGCGUUGUAUUAGCUAGUUGGUUAGGUAACGGCUUAACAAGGCGACGGUACAUAGCCGGCCUGAGGGGGUGGUCGGCCCAACUGGGAACGAGAAACGGCCCAGGCUCCUUCGGGAAGCAGCAGUAGGGAAACUUCCGGAAUGGGGCGAAAGCUUAACGGGGAACGCCGGGGGGGUGGAGAAGGUUUUCGGGACCGAAAGAUCCGGUGAUAGGGGAGGACGGGAGUGGGAGUGGAAAGUGCACACCGUGACGGUACCUUAUCAGAAAGGCACGGCUAACUACGUG
rnacentral:rRNA from 1 species